AGCGAACGCUGGCGGCAGGCCUAAUACAUGCAAGUCGAACGGCUCUUCGGAGCAGUGGCGGACGGGUGAGUAACGCGUGGGAAUGUGCCCUUUGGUACGGAACAACACAGGGAAACUUGUGCUAAUACCGUAUGUGCCCUUCGGGGGAAAGAUUUAUCGCCGAGGGAGUAGCCCGCGUAGGAUUAGCUAGUUGGGGGAGGAAUGGCUCACCAAGGCGACGAUCCUUAGCUGGUCUGAGAGGGUGAUUGAGCACACUGGCACUGAGACGCGGCCCAGACUCCUCCGGGAGGCAGCAGUGGGGAAUAUUGGACAUGGGGCGAAGGCCUGAUCCAGCCAUUCCGCGUGAGUGAUGAGGGCCUUAGGGUUGUAAAGCUCGUUCGCCAGGGAAUAUAAUGACGGUACCUUGAAAAGAAGCCUCGGCUAACGCCGUGCUGCAGCCGUCGUAACAC
rnacentral:rRNA from 1 species